UACAGAGGUCUCAACCGUUGUUCGGAUUCAUUGGGCGUAAAGGGUGCGUAGGCGGCGGGGUAAGUCAGGUGUGAAAUCUCGGGGCUCAACCCCGAAACUGCACUUGAUACUGCCUCGCUUGAGUACUGGAGAGGAGACUGGAAUUUACGGUGUAGCAGUGAAAUGCGUAGAUAUCUGGAGGAACACCGGUGGCGAAGGCGGCAUCCUGGACCGGCAUUGACGCUGAGGCGCGAAAGCCAGGGGAGCAAACGGG
rnacentral:rRNA from 1 species